rnacentral:rRNA from 1 species
GUGGGGAAUAUUGGACAAUGGGCGAAAGCCUGAUCCAGCCAUGCCGCGUGUGUGAAGAAGGUCUUCGGAUUGUAAAGCACUUUAAGUUGGGAGGAAGGGCAGUAAGUUAAUACCUUGCUGUUUUGACGUUACCGACAGAAUAAGCACCGGCUAACUUCGUGCCAGCAGCCGCGGUAAUACGAAGGGUACAAGCGUUAAUCGGAAUUACUGGGCGUAAAGCGCGCGUAGGUGGUUUUGUAAGUUGGAGGUGAAAUCCCCGGGCUCAACCUGGGAACUGCCUCCAAAACUGCAUGACUAGAGUACGGUAGAGGGUAGUGGAAUUUCCUGUGUAGCGGUGAAAUGCGUAGAUAUAGGAAGGAACACCAGUGGCGAAGGCGACUACCUGGACUGAUACUGACACUGAGGUGCGAAAGCGUGGGGAGCAAACAGGAUUAGAAACCCCAGUAGUCC